UACAGAGGUCUCAAGCGUUGUUCGGAUUCAUUGGGCGUAAAGGGUGCGUAGGCGGCGCGGUAAGUCGGGUGUGAAAUCUCGGGGCUUAACUCCGAAACUGCAUUCGAUACUGCCGUGCUUGAGGACUGGAGAGGAGACUGGAAUUUACGGUGUAGCGGUGAAAUGCGUAGAUAUCGUAAGGAAGACCAGUGGCGAAGGCAGGUCUCUGGACAGUUCCUGACGCUGAGGCACGAAGGCCAGGGGAGCAAACGGG
rnacentral:rRNA from 1 species